rnacentral:sRNA from 1 species
GCUCUAUGACUUGGUGGCGAGCCGGGA